AGGCCCCCCUUUCCCCAGGCAGGGGAGGGAAGAAGCGCUCCCAUUGGGAUGCUGGGCAGAGGGGUGGGGGAUGGGAGAAGUGUCCUCCCCCUCCCACACACCUGUCAUAGGGUCCCGACGCUGUGGCGCCCCAGGAGAGAAGGGGAAAGGGUGGGGGUGGGGCCAGGGCGCUGGGUGGAACCAUUGUUCAAGAUCCCAGGGUGGGUCACUCGGGGUUAGUCUGGAAACUAUGACGAGCAGAGAUGUCAGAGAGCGCUUACGGGGUUAGAAAGCGCGUCGUCAUCCCAUUUUAUCCUUCCAACUACCCUGCAGGCGAGCCCUACUAUUCUCCCCAUUUUACAGAUGAUGUAACGGCCCUUGCCAGGGGAGGUGUCGGUACAGCACUAGUAUUUCCUGCCUCCGACUCUGCUAUCCUCGGCGUCCCACCUCGGGCCCUGUUGCGGCAUGGAAUGUACCACUGCGGGACUGGGGGGGGGGAGUUCUGGACGGGGCACACUGGGCAGGGAGGAGCUAGCAUUAGGGCAAGCACCUUCCUCACAGGGCGGAAUAUUUCAAAGGGCUUAGCACAACGCCAGGCCUCUGUAGGCGUCACGUACGUGCUUAUUCUCUUGCUUUCCUUUGAUGUGCAGCGAGAAGGCACCAUCCUUGGGAUAGGGAGUAGCACCCUGGAUAGAACCAUUGGGCAGGCCAUGGGGGGCGCAGGCAUAUGUGUACGAGGUAUUGGGGACUGGAGAAAAGGAAUACUGCGUUGUCUUGUUGGUUAUAUGAUUAUUAUCAAGGAAGAACACCAACAACUCUUUAUUGGCACCAGAGCCAUUUCCAAAUCAGCUCUCUGUGUGCUGUCCAAAUACCAGUGCAUUACAAAUUUGAUCAAAGCUUUUGCAUGCCACAGUCAAACAGAGGGAGAAAAUGGUUUUCAGGUAGACCAAUGAUUCUCAAAUUGUCUCUUCUGGACCUGUUUUCCACGUAUGUUGUCUUCUCAAUGAGGUGAUGUUUGUGCCGUGAUCCUGGGCCCGGGGGGUGAAGAGGAGUUUGGAGGAAUUGGUAUUCCACAGGGCAGAACCCUGCGAGGAGAGGGCAGUGCCAUUCCACAGGUAGGUCAAGUGUUUCCCUUCCCUACAGGGCCCAGGAACCAAACAGGUCAAGGUCACCUGGCGCCCAGACUGCAGGACUUCUGGAAUGUGGACCUCUGGCUUCUGGGUCAGAACUGGGAGAGGAGAGAGACAGAGAGUGAUCCAGAAGGCAGGAGAGGGGGCGCCCCAAAUGGGACAGCCUUGGGAUCUUCCCUCAUAUGUUUCCAGGACAUUAUUUCCCAAGUGCCCUGGCUUGAGUUCCUCAUCCUUGGCCUUUUCUCUCUUUCCUAAGGCCUGAGCCUAUUGGCCCAACCUGAGGUUCUGUUUCCUCUAUUUUCCCAUUCACCUCUCUGCCUCCCCAAUGCCUCCCUGAACACCUGCCUUCCCCGGGCCCUGAGAUGCUCCCGGAUGCCUGGACUUUGGCUCCUUUGCAGAAGGAGCUGGCCAAAGGAUCCCGACCCAUGUUUGUUAGCCUUGUUUGCAUGGGGUUGGGGAUUCAGGGCAGCCCCCUCACUCACGCUGCACGCAGAGCCUCACUGAGUAGUUCUGCUGCCCCACUGUGUUCCUGGCUUGGCAGUUGUAUUCUCCGCUGGCAUUAGUCCCCAGCCGGGACAGCUCCAGGUGCAGAACCCCAGGAUCUGAGGCCUGGGUAGAAUUCAGGAUUUGGCCUCUGUGGGCCCAGCUCAGUGCAGCCGGGGGGUAGCUCCGUGUGCCACAGACCAGAGUCAGGGACUCGCCCUCGAGGACCACCAGGGUCGAAGCGUUUCCUGGGAAUUCUGGUCCUUGAGAGAGAAAGGGGAGAGAGCCCUGGCCUUCCUUCCUCUCUGGCCCAGCCAGAUUUCCAAGCUUUCUUCCUUCACAGCCCACCGCCAAACCCUCCAGUUGUUUUCUGCAAACGUACCUGCCCUAUUUGCCCAGGACACUCUGAUGUUCAUCUUCUGAGGAGGGUCUGCAAUGGAAGGAGGACUGAGGGCUGAGGUCCCAGGACCCCACUUCAGGGAUGGUGAGGCUAGUCCCUUCAGUCUCAGAUACCAGAAUGGGAGCCCCAGGGAUUCCCUCCCUCCCGCCCCUCGCCCUUACAAGCGCUGGUCUGUGCCCUCUCGGAACUCCUGGCCCAUCUCCUCCCACCCUCCUCCCCUCGGGGACUCGAGCAUCCUUUCCUGCCUUCUCUCAGCACUCACAGAAAACCCGGAGCCUGACUGUUGUCUCUGUGCUCACUCCGGACUCCAGGAAGGUUGUCUUACAGGCUCCGGGAACUGUACAGGUCAAGGUCGCUUGGUCCCCCGAUAGCAGCAUCUCUGGCACGUGGACCUCUGGCUUCUGGGUGAGAUCUGGGGCAGAGAGAGGCCGUGAGCAGGGUGCCAGCAGGAGUGGUCCUCCCGCUGCUGCGUGCCUCCAGAUGACAACCAUGGCUUGUCCCUCUUAUGUCUCCAGUCACGACUCUUCUCUCUCCAUCCCUGGCUAUCUCUCACCUUCCCCGGGACCUGAGCCUCAACCCAACCUCAGUGUCUCCAUCCUUCUGACAGCCUCAGGGGCAUGCCCUCCCCUCCUUAGGGUGUCUGUCCCUUUGACGGUCCCCACAGGCCCUCCCACCUUGAGCUCCGACCCUCAGGUCCAGAUCCUGAGCCUUUUGCCCAUGAUUGAGGCUGUGUUCCAUCACAGAAGGGACCUAGCCAAGAGUCUGAAGACUGGCUCCCACGCUGGCCCUCUCCCGGGUACCCAUUAUUCCCCAGAUGCUUCCCUGGUACAAAGUGCUCACCCUCUACCUGGACAGACACCGUGUCAUCCUUGAAAUUGUAGGUCAGCUCUCCUUUCUUCAUCAGGAAUCGGUAAUUCCCUUGAUCGUUCUUCUGGGCUCGAGUAAUAGUAAAGGAGCAGUUGUCCAGCUGGAGGUCUCCAGUGAGGUGGAACCGGCCCUUUGCCCAGGAGUGGACUUGCUUUUGGGGAUCAUUGGUGGCCGCAAGGUAUUCCAAGUAGUGUACAUAUUUCCAGUAUCCAUGAACUUUCUUCUCACUCCUAUACUGUUGGGGGUAAUUGAAGGAGCAGGGGAUAGAGACACACAGGCCCUCCUGCACCCUCACUGUCUUCUUGACGUGAAUCCUAAACUCGGUAUUUUGAGAAAUGGUUCCUGAGAGAGAGAGACAGUCAGACAGAUAGAAGGAGGAGAGAGAGCGAGAGAGAAAGAGACAGACAGACAGAUAGACAGACAGACAGAUAGACAGAGAGAAAGGGAAAGAGAAAGAGAGAGGGAGAGGAGAGGGAGGAAGGGAGGGAGAGAGAGGGAAGGAGGGAGCGAGGGAGAGAAAGGAAAGGAGGGAGAGAGAGAGGAAGAGAGAGGGAGAGAAAGGAAAGGAGGGAGAGAGGGGGGAGAGAAAGAGUGAGGGGAAGAGAGGAAGAGAGAGAGAGAGAGAGAGAGAGAGAGAGAGAGAGAGAGAGAGAGAGAGAGGGGGGGGGGGGGGGAAGAGAGGGAGAGAGGGAAACACAAGUUGAUUUCUUGUUUCCUCAUUCUGCUCCCUAGCCUUUCCAGGGCCAGUUUCCUCCCAAACCUCCUCCUUCUCCCUCUAACUGCCUUCAGCGUUAUCUCUGCCCCUACUUACUUCUCCAGAGCAGGGGCAGCAGCAGCAGCAACAGUAAUAGAUCCAUGGUGAGAUCCAGGGCUCAGGAGAAGCCAGAUCUAAGUCCUGGGGCAGAAUCAGAUCCAAUUCUAGUCUUCAAGGAGGAAGGAACCGGGAGCUAGGGCAAAGAGGAAGAGAAGAACAGGAACAAGGGGUGGAGAAGAAUGGAAAAGGGGGGGUUCUCAGAAGAUCAUUGAGCCUGGUCUCACCAGCCCUGGCCCAGCAGAGACUCUGAGCCUGAUGAGAGGGAAGACAGACAGGAGGAGAGGGAAGACGUGUGGGAGGUGGCAAGCAUGCCCUCCUUCUUUCCUUGGCUCCUUGUGGCUAGUGGCCUGCUGUCCCACAGUCUGGAGGACUACUUCCACAGGAGACAGGAAAUGGAAGGGACCUGACCUGACAUGGAAAGGAGACCCCAUGCUGACUCCACAAAAUCCCUGUUUCCACAAAAAUUCCCUGAUGAUUUUUCCAGGCUCCUAAAGAGGUUCCCAAAGUCUCAUCCCUGGUCCUCUCUGGAAUGGAUGAUGAUGAUAGUUAUAAGAGAAACUGUAACAUUGAUCAUAGCAACAAUUCACAUUGAUAAAGUGAUUGAAAGUGACAAAAUGCCAUCCCUGGGAGGCAGAUAGUGAGGGCCAGCAGGAACAAACUACACAUUCUUGUAAGACAUCUUUUUUUUUUUAACCCAUAUCUUCCAUCUUAGAAUUUAUACUAAGUAUUAUUUCCAAGGCAGAAGAGAGGUAAAGGUUAGACAGUUGGGGUUAAGUGACUUGUUAGAUCACAUAGCUUGGAAGUGUCUGAGGGCAAAUUUGAACCCAAGACCUCCCAUCUACAGAUGGGACUCUCUUUCCACUAGCCAUCUAGCUCUUCCUGACAUCUUUUGUUUUUACAUCAACUAUAUUUCCCACUAUAUCCUUCCCCUCACUUUCAAGGAGCCAUUUCUUAUGAUGGAGAGGAGGAAAAAAAUUCAACAAAACGAAUGAACAUUGAAAAAGUCUCGGGGGGUGUUGGGUGGCUUAGUGAACUGAGAGCCAGGUUACAGAGGGGAAGUCCUGGGUUCAAAUGUGGCCUCAGAUAUGUUCCAACUGUGUGACCCUAGACAAGUCACUUAACCUCCAUUGCCUAUCCCUUACUGUUCUACUACUUUGGAACUGAUGCACUAUAUUGAAUCCAAGAUGGAAGGUAAGGGUUUAAAAAAACAAAGAAGAAAAAGUGUUCCGUUAUAUAUGAGAUUGCAUAACCAUAGUCCCUGAUUUCUGCAAAGACAAUGUUGGGGGGAAGCGAAGGGAUUAGAAAGGAAGAAAGAAGUUCAGUCUUUAUAAAUGGAUAGCAUUUACUUUUGUUGUUACCAAAGGUUUAAAAAAACAACAACAACCUACUGUUGGGGGGUGGCUUAGUGGAUAGAGAGUCAGGACCAAAGAUGGGAAGCCCUGAGUUCAAAUGUGAACUCAGAUAUUUUCAAGCUGUGUGACCCUGGGCAAGUCACUUAAUCCUAGUUGCCUACUCCUCACUGCUUUUAUGCCUUGGAACUGAUACUUAAUAUUGACUCUAAAACAGAAGGUAAGUUUUUUUUUUAAUCUAUUGUUAUAAACAAAAUAUUUCAUUGAUAUUUUGGGUGUAUGUUUUAUUAAGUUGGUAGUUUUCUGAUGUUGAGCCAACCUUGAAAAGCUUGUAGAAAACCUGUUUUGUCUUAACAAAUAACUUUUUUAUUGUAUCAUCAUAGUUCAUUAGCUGAUAUUUUAGCUAGCAUUUUUGCAAUAGAGAUGCAAAUUGAUCUUUCAUUUUCAACUAGCAAAAUUUGCCUAUCAUUUUCUUUUUUAGUGUUAUCUUUACCUGGUUUUAAAUCAAAGGCUCAUUAAAAAAAAGUAUUUGCUCCAAGUUUAAUUUCACAGUUGAAAUAUUGUAAAAUAUAAGUGUAAAAUCUUUACAAAUAAACCACUUACUACAUGAAAGCGGAAAAAUACAUUUCUAUUUUUAGCAGUCAGCUGCAAAAGUACAAAUCACCAGCAUCACUGCAGUUGGUUUUACAAUCUUAUGGAGUUUCAUUAUGUCAGAAGAGCUUUUAUGUUUCCUUCCCUUUUAAAUAGAUGGACAUUCCCUUUAGUUUUUACCCUUAAGAUGCUUUGCAGAACUCUUUGGGUGUUCUAUAUCAUUUUAGCCAGAAGAUUUUAAGUAGGUUGUCAUAUUACUGUAUGCAUUCGAGCAAUGGAUAUAUUACUGACUAUGGUUCCCAUGAAAUUGUGCCCUUAUUUGUAAAAGAUAAUGAGGGGAAAAGAACCUUAAGCAUUGCUGUUCAAAUAGAUUUUCUUUGUUUAUAAAGAGGGAUUGCUUUUGUUCAAAAAGAAAUGUGUCACUAAACUGUACAUAAGGAUCUCCAUGGCUGCCUAUCAAUUUAGAAAAUGGCAUAUUAAUAAUGUCUAUAUUCUAUUGCAUUUUAAUUUAUUUUAAAAAUAUUUGACUAAUUAUGUUUUAUUCUAGUUUGGCAUCCAGAGGUAUUUGACACCGCUGUUGUACCCCACUCUGUGAACUGGUCAGUCCAAUUACUCUGGACUAUUUUUGUUCAAUUGCACAUGGUGCUCAACCUCCCAAUACUGUACCUGUUUACUGAUUAUAAACCAGGACCUAUUUAGCAAGUAGCUCUGAUUUUGCCUUGCUAGCUACAACUCCGUCAAGAUUCUGGGGGUAUCCUGAGUGGUUGAGGGGGAUUCUUUUCUCCUAAUAUUAUGGCUCAAGACCAAUAAGGGUGUUUUCUGUCCAGUAUUAGCCACUAGUUACUAGACCUCCAGUUCCCCUUAACUAUUUAACUUAAAUUAGCUUUUACAAAGAGACAUUUACUUUGAAGAUAUAGCAACAACAGUAGUAUCAAUACCCCUUCUAUCCCCAAUACCUUGAAGGCACACUCUCCCUAUAUCAUCCUAGAGAGAGCUCAGAUUUAAUUCCGUUUCUACACAGUAUUUUUCCCACUAAGUUCUGGUCCAAAUGUGACAUAACUACUUUGUGAGUCCUCAAACUCGGCCAUCUCUGGACUUGGGCAUCACUGCUGCCCUGGAUUCAAAGUCCAACAUGGCUUUGAUUCCUGGACUUUAAGUGGUUUAUUCUCCUGAACUUUCAAAACUCACAUGUCCUCCUGGGCCAUAUACCUUUGCCCUCACCUCUAGGGAUCCAAGGGGUCAGAAUUCUCCUUUUCUGUGGGGUAGAAUGAUGAUGGCUCCAGCUUCAGAUUCCUGGACCUUACGGCUUCAGGUACCUUGGUCUGCAGGUUCUGAUUUCCCAGCCUGCAUCCCUCAGGGGCUAAUGUGUCUGUCUCCAGUCCUCCUGUUCUGAUUUUUCCAUCAUUCACCCCACCAAGCUGGAAUGUGUCCAUUUUCUAUGAAGUCAACAAAGGGGAGGGCAAGAGGUAAGAGCAAAUCCCCACUCCUGGCCUCCAUUAGCCAUUAUAUCAAACUCAGAAUUACUUGCCCAGUAGAUGAUGCCCAUCCAACAGUUCAAGAGAAUCAAAGGCAGAAUUGAGGAAUUCAACACAGACACAGAAAAGCAGUGACUCACAGGGUGAAACAAUUCCAGGAAUAUGACCUCCUGGCAGCAGAGAAGAGAGCCAACCAUGGAUUCAAGGAAGAACAAGGGAGAGCUAGCCCUAGCUAUCAAGAUGGUUCUCUAUGAACACAAUCACAGACAUGUUGGCUCUGCAGUACUUGAGGCAUGAGUUGUUUUGACCCUGAAUGUUCCUGACCCUUAUGCUUUGCUGAUUCUUUGCCUCAUUGGAUGCUUUUCCAUUUUUCUAAUGGAUGCUUUGUAUGUCUUUGGGAGAGUGUGCCACAAGUGCUAGGUGGUAUAGAGGAUAGUGGAAGGUAAGGGUCUAAAAAAUAUAGACACAAAAUAGAUGUGAUCUAAGUGACUUGCCCUGACUCAAAUAUCUAGUAGAGGGAAGAUGAGUCAAAUCUAACUUCAGAUAUUUCCUGGCUUUGUGACCUUGGACAAAUCACUUAAUCUCUUUGUUGUACAAUAAUCCAAGCUUUCAAAAAUACAUGUACAGUGAAGGAAUGCCUAUAAGUUUUCUUUUAAAAUAUUUUAUUUCCCCAAUUAUAUGUAAAAACAAUUCUUAACAUUUUUUAAAAAUUUGGUUCUGAAUUCUCUCCUUCCCUCCCUCUCCUCCUCAAUCUGCAAGCAAUUUGAUAUUGGAUAUAUAUGUGAAGCUGCUAGACAUAUUUCCAUGUCAGUCUUGUUGUGAAAGAAAACACAAAUCAAGGAUAAAAAACAUUAAACAAGUAAAAAAAUAGUCCACUUCAAUCUGCA